GGAGAGGUGUCCGAGUGGCCGAUGGUGCCUGACUCGAAAUCAGGUGUAGCGAAAGCUACCGGGGGUUCGAAUCCCUCCCUCUCCG
rnacentral:tRNA from 1 species